rnacentral:rRNA from 1 species
GACGAACGCUGGCGGCGUGCUUAACACAUGCAAGUCGAACGGAAAGGCCCUGCUUUUGUGGGGUGCUCGAGUGGCGAACGGGUGAGUAACACGUGAGUAACCUGCCCUUGACUUUGGGAUAACUUCAGGAAACUGGGGCUAAUACCGGAUAGGAGCUCCUGCUGCAUGGUGGGGGUUGGAAAGUUUCGGCGGUUGGGGAUGGACUCGCGGCUUAUCAGCUUGUUGGUGGGGUAGUUGCUUACCAAGGCUUUGACGGGUAGCCGGCCUGAGAGGGUGACCGGCAAAAUUGGGACUGAGAUACGGACCAGACUCCUACGGGAGGCAGCAGGGGGGAAUAUUGCACAAGGGGCGGAAGCAUGAUGCAGCAAAGCCGCGUGCGGGAUGACGGCCUUCGGGUUGUAAACCGCUUUCGCCUGUGACGAAGAGUGAGUGACGGUAAUGGGUAAAGAAGCACCGGCUAACUACGUG